rnacentral:rRNA from 1 species
CGAAGGUGCAAGCGUUAAUCGGAAUUACUGGGCGUAAAGCGCGCGUAGGUGGUUCAGUAAGUUGAAGGUGAAAUCCCCGGGCUCAACCUGGGAACUGCCUCCAAAACUGCUGAGCUAGAGUAUGGUAGAGGGUAGUGGAAUUUCCUGUGUAGCGGUGAAAUGCGUAGAUAUAGGAAGGAACACCAGUGGCGAAGGCGACUACCUGGACUGAUACUGACACUGAGGUGCGAAAGCGUGGGGAGCAAACAGGAUU